AUACUCAUUUUUAGACAAAGUACCAUGAUGAUUUAUGGUUUUAAGUUCCAUUUUUAGUAAUACUGACUACCAUUCAUGUACCAAACAUAGUGUACCAUUCAUGUAAACAUGGUACAUGAAUAUUGUAAUGAGUCAGUACUAUGAUAUAGCAUAGUACCACCACAGUACUUCCUGAAAGCAUGGUACCAUCAUAGUCUCUCCAGCUAUGUAUGUGUCUGUGCAUGUCCCCAGGCUCUCCUUUGGUAAAAAACCUAAGUGUUGCCAUUCUGCACCUGAGUCAGUCUGGUGAGCUGGAUUAUUUGCGCAGUAAGUGGUGGGCCAGCAGUUGUAUUGCAAAAAAUGGCAAGAUUGCUCCACUGAAACCCACCAGUCUGAAGGGAAUCUUAUUACUGGCACUCGGUCUGGGGCUUUUCUUGGCUCUGAUGGAACUGGCCGCCAAAUCACACAAAGUCACUAACACACUGAAGAAGUCCUGCUGCUCUGUGAUGUGUGCUGAACUCAGCCAGCGCUUCAGAAGCGGAGAGCCGACGACACCCGAAUCCUCUGAGAAACACAAAGCCUAAAAAGCAAAGUCCCAACAAAGCACUGACAGAUAUACGCAUUUAAUCACUUAAUGUUCAUUACGUCCACAAAAAAGCUAUUAACUACUAACAAAACUGGGAGUGUGAAAACAUUUUAUUUGUUGUGCAUACUUCAAAACCAUGUGGGGUGGCGGGGUCCUGUACACCAUUGAUUGGGGGGGGGGGGGGGGGGUACAGUAUUAACCAAAAGAUUGAGAAUGCCCUAAAUUCUGACCAAACUGAAAUAUUCAACCUGCUCAUCUCUAGAUUACUAAGAUCAACACUUUUUCUGUUUUAAUAGUAGAACAAUGUGUGUCAUGAGUUUAACUGUGAUAUUACUCUUUUUUUUUUUUGGAGAAAAUUGCCUACAGUUUGAACAUUUCCCUUUAUUUCUAUUAUAAUUAAAUGAUGCAUGCAAAAUUUCUCCCAUGACUAACUAUAUAUACACACAGUACCUUGAGAAAGCCCAAUUCCUUAUUUUGGGUGUCAUUGUUUUGUUGUAGAGAAUUUUCUUAACCAAAAUAAAAAGCUAAAAUAUGCUGUUUGCAUAUUUAA